rnacentral:rRNA from 1 species
CCUGCUCACUGAAUUUAAAAUUUUAAGAGCCGCAGAAUUUUAACUGUGCAAAGGUAGCAUAAUCAUUAGUUUUUUAAUUGAAAACUUGUAUGAAUGGUUAGACAAAAGAAUUUCUGUCUUUUUUUAAUAAAUUGAAUUUUACUUUUAAGUGAAAAGGCUUAAAUAUUUUAGAGGGACGAUAAGACCCUAUAAAGCUUAAUAAGAGUUAAGUUUUUUAAAGAAAUAGAUAUAUAAAUUUAGAAACUUAUUUUUUAUUUCGUUGGGGUGACGUGUAUAUAAUUUUAAGUAGCUGUUAAAGUGUUAAAACAUGGGUUAGAUGGAGUGAAAAAAUUGGUCCUAAUGUUAAGAUUAUAAGACAAAGUUACUUUAGGGAUAACAGCGUAAUUUUUUUUAAGAGUUCUUAUCGAAAGAAAAGUUUGCGACCUCGAUGUUGAAUUAAAAUAUCUUUAUUAGUGUAGCCGCUAUAGGAAGAAGGUCUGUUCGACCUUUAAAGUUUUACGUGAUCUGA